GGAAGUAAAAUAUAUGUUAUCGCUGCUAACGAUAGUUUAGAAUUAUGUUGUGUAAUUCUACUUUCU
rnacentral:tRNA from 1 species